rnacentral:rRNA from 1 species
GAUGAACGCUGGCGGCGUGCUUAACACAUGCAAGUCGAACGGUGAACACGGAGCUUGCUCUGUGGGAUCAGUGGCGAACGGGUGAGUAACACGUGAGCAACCUGCCCCUGACUCUGGGAUAAGCGCUGGAAACGGCGUCUAAUACUGGAUAUGUGACGUGACCGCAUGGUCUGCGUUUGGAAAGAUUUUUCGGUUGGGGAUGGGCUCGCGGCCUAUCAGCUUGUUGGUGAGGUAAUGGCUCACCAAGGCGUCGACGGGUAGCCGGCCUGAGAGGGUGACCGCCCACACUGGAAUUGGGACACGGCCCAGACUCCUACGGGGGGAGGCGGUGGGGAAUAUUGCACAAUGGGCGAAGGCCGGAGGCAGAAACGCCGCGUGGGGGAGAACGGCCUUCGGGUUGUAAACCUUUUUAGCAGGGAAGAAGCGAAAGUGACGGUACCUGCAGAAAAAGCGCCGGCUAACUACGUG